UGGGGAGGUAUUGCAUGCAAUGGGGAAAUCCGGUAGCAUGCAGCGACGCCGCGUGGAGGAAGAAGGUUUUCGGAUUGUAAACUCCUGUCGUUAGGGACGAAUCAUGACGGUACCUAACAAGAAAGCACCGGCUAACUACGUGCCAGCAGCCGCGGUAAAACGUAGGGUGCAAGCGUUGUCCGGAAUUACUGGGUGUAAAGGGAGCGCAGGCGGACCGGCAAGUUGGAAGUGAAAACCAUGGGCUCAACCCAUGAAUUGCUUUCAAAACUGCUGGCCUUGAGUAGUGCAGAGGUAGGUGGAAUUCCCGGUGUAGCGGUGGAAUGCGUAGAUAUCGGGAGGAACACCAGUGGCGAAGGCGACCUACUGGGCACCAACUGACGCUGAGGCUCGAAAGCAUGGGUAGCAAACAGGAUUAGAUACCC
rnacentral:rRNA from 1 species